AUUGAACGCUGGCGGCAUGCUUUACACAUGCAAGUCGAACGGCAGCGCGGACUUCGGUCUGGCGGCGAGUGGCGAACGGGUGAGUAAUGUAUCGGAACGUGCCCAGUAGCGGGGGAUAACUACUCGAAAGAGUAGCUAAUACCGCAUACGCCCUACAGGGGAAAGGGGGGGAUCGCAAGACCUCUCACAAUUGGAGCGGCCGAUAUCGGAUUAGCUAGUUGGUGAGGUAAAGGCUCACCAAGGCGACGAUCCGUAGCUGGUUUGAGAGGACGACCAGCCACACUGGGACUGAGACACGGCCCAGACUCCUACGGGAGGCAGCAGUGGGGAAUUUUGGACAAUGGGGGCAACCCUGAUCCAGCCAUUCCGCGUGUGCGAUGAAGGCCUUCGGGUUGUAAAGCACUUUUGGCAGGAAAGAAAUCGCACGGAUUAAUACUCUGUGUGGAUGACGGUACCUGCAGAAUAAGCACCGGCUAACUACGUGCCAGCCGCCGCGGUAAGAC
rnacentral:rRNA from 1 species